rnacentral:lncRNA from 1 species
CUAUUUACUGAAAACCCUAAACCCUACUUUCCAUUCCACUCUCCCCCACGCCCAAAAUAUCCAGUUUCAUUACAAAAACUCCGUGCCCUCGAUCCACUCCCAUUCUCCAUCCAUAUUUUCUUGUCAGCAAUGGCUACGAAAUGCAGCCGAAUCAUCAACAAAGCUUCCAUUUCAACUCUUAGAUCCAUCUUGAAGAAAUCAAAUUCUCCUUCUUGUCUUCCCAGAACCUACACGUCGUCGUUUGCUAAACCAUCUCUGCCUUCAAAACCCGCCCCUUCAAUCUGGAGGUACUUAACCCUAUAGUGAAGAUUACGAUAUUGUUAUUUUGUUCUGUGAUUGAUUUUAUUUUAUGUAUGGAUUCUUGUUAGGUGUCCGGCAGAGCUGGGCUGCGUGGCGUCAAUGCUGCCGCUGCAUAGCGUGGUUGCUACGGCUAGGAUGACGUCAUGCCUGAGCUCAUCAUCGAGGAGUUGCAGGGCUCUUUCUCAGGGUACACUUUGCUGCACUUCUCCAGAUCUCUAGUAUGUGCCUUUAUGAUGUUAGUUGUGAAUUUUUCGCAUCAAGUUCUGUUACUAUUUAGUUUGUGGGCAGUGUUAAGGUUAAACUGCUGAAGAUAAAAUUGUAUUUGAAAUUAUAUAAAUCAUUUUUGGGAAGCUCGAGGAUAAUCAAGUGGUUUAUCUCAAAGAAACCAAAAUAUUGCCCUUAAAUUAUACUUGAAAAUCCCUUUAUUUUUUUUUUUGUAGAAUAAUUCCGUGUCAUCAGUAGGAGACCUGUUAUGUUGCUACUUACUGCUACUGCCAUGUAUCUGCUUUGUAUUCUCAUGCAUGACCUCUGAUUUCCUUAUACGUUGUACCUGAUAAAUUGUUCUGCCUGAGAUUUAAUCUACACAUAAUUCCAAGUAAGUCUAUGUUUAUAUGAUUCAUGGAAAGCCUAGCUUAAUCAUGAGAGUCACUGAUUGCACUUUUCAUUUCCUAGGUUUUUCAAUACUACCUCAACAGACACAUACUUUUUGUGAGUUUGGAAUGUGUGUUUAGGCGGAGAAAAGAGAGAUUACCGAUUUUAAGAUGACAAGAAUUAACUUGCAAUCUUCUAAAAUCAUUACUGUUAACCAAUGCAGUUCAAAUAUACCAGAAAAGUUAAAAGUUAUGGUUUUGAAUUUCCUCAAUCUGGAUAUCAAAAUGCUUUUUGAAAUGACUGUACCUUAUUGUUGAGUAAGCUGGUUUUUCACUUCAGAAACACUCCAUGACUUCAUGUUGCCUAAUUGCUUUAUAUUUUUAGUUAUGGAGUUGUUAUCCUAUCUCCUAAUCAACGUCCUUAAUGAACAAUUUAGGCAUAUGUUUUGGGGUAAAAGGCAUUGAAGCUAUCUGACUGGAAUAUUUGGUUCCUGCAGGCACAUGAAUUUCCAAAUGCUUGAAAGAAAUACCAGAAUUUUACAAGGUCUCUGUAAUGCUUCAUUGUGUUAUGCUCAUGUAUUAAAGCUUGGUUAACAAUUUUAUGAAACUGAGUUUUAUACUCGUAUUUUGGGGAUGCAGAGAACAAUAAAUGCAUGACUUAUCUUAUAUUUAAGAAUUUUUUUAACGCAAGGGACUUGGCUACAUUUUGGUGGACAAAUAAAAUAUCUGCAGUGAUCUUAUUUAUUGCCGAUUUAUAUAUAACACCUAGCUUUUAAUUUUCACGUCAUCGAUUUCAACUUUGACCUAUCUGCUAACUGUGUUUGGAGAUUUGUUUGUUAAUGGAAAUGUGUUGAAUUUUCAUACUCUUCGUUGACAUUGAAUUUGUUUGGUGCCUAAAUAACACAAAUUUCUGGAGAGAAGAAUUCUCUGCAGCGGAAUUGAUGGAACCAUUUGCGCGGCUGAAAAAUUAUUUGUCUGCUUAGUCAAAAUCAGUUCAUUAUGAAACUUAACCUAUAAAGUUUCUGUACCUUUUUUCUAAAAUUUAGUGUAGAUUUUUUAAAAGAAAUCCUUCUGAAGUAGUUCACCAAACUUUUAAUUCCCUCAUUCUAUCUCAAAAUGGGAUUUAUAUAUCCACUUAAAAAUGUUCUAGGAAGAGAGAGAGGUGACACAAUAACAGUAGAUUCAAAAGCAUGUGAAUUUGGUAUCAGCAUUUCUACUUGAGCGAUUGUGCAUAAUGCAUUAGUUUGAUAAGCCUGGUGACAAACAGUUCUCCUUUUUCCCAGAUGAAAUUGAUGGAACGUGAAACAUUUUUUCAAGAUGGGCUCCGUCAUCUGCUUGGAAGUUAAUUUCAAGGAUAUUUAUGCUACCUCUAUACUACAUGUCUCAGGAUGAAUCAACCAUCAACCUGCCAGAAUUAGCCUCUUCUUUGAUUUUCUAUUGAUUACUUUAGCUGUUUUUAGAGAAAGUUAAUAAACUGGGAUCGUUAAGCAUCAAUGAUUUUAUUUUAUUGAAUGCUUAAGAGAGAUUUUUUUUAUUUAUCAUCAAGUGGGUAUUUUGCUCGUAUUGUUUUCUUAUAUGAACUUUUUGUUUCUUGAAUUAGAGCUAGGCCUAUCAGUUCCAAGGUGACUUUGUUAGCAGACUGUCAGAGAGUUAUCUUCAUUUGAACGGAAAAAAGGGGAGGUUCUACUUCAUUUAUUCCAGCAUAUACAUUCAAUUUCUUAAAAGUUGCUUGAAGUUGUAGAAUUGAGUUUGAUUAUUGUAUGUUUCAUUUAAAUUGCUGGAAAUAGCCUUGUUAUUCAUGUUCUGAAUGUUGCCUUUUUGAGAUUUUUGUUUUAGUUUGAACUGAAAUUUAUUUGGGCAUAUCCUUGAAAUUUUUACCUUUUGAUCGAUUAUCAUUUGCAAAUCUAUUCUUGGGAUUUGGGUUGUUGAAGAUUAGUUCGAAUACUCAGUUCCACAUUUAGCGAUAAGUAACUCAUGAUUUG